AUUGUUAAUUAAGGUUGUAAAGCUUUGGCUUUAACUAAUCCUCUUAUAUAAAUUUGACUUUAUGAUAUUUGGAGUCUAAUGUCAAAACUGGAUAUUUAUGCAGCAUUGUUCCUUUGUAAAUUUCUAUUUAAUUAGCAUUUGCAACAUUAGUGGUGAAAUUUGGGUUUUCAAUAAGGUCUUCUAUUUCUUUGAAACUCUUUUAUGACUCUUUAAUUUAAGGUCAAUCACUAGAGUCUUGAAUUUAACAUAAGGAUGUAAUAUUUGCUUUUACAUUUACUAUCAUUCUAGUCAUAGAAAUUUAGUAUAGUUUAGUUACAAGUAAUUGAGUUGCUGCUGUUGACAAUUUGUGGUAUCUAAAAGAUGGAAUACAUACUGUAGUCUUGAAAAAACUUUCAGAAAAUUGAUCUUGCAGGCAAAGGACACCAAGUGAAUUAGAUAGAGAGGUUAAGAACUUGAGGGUGGCAUUUACUGACCUGUUUUUGAAGCAUAACACUUUCAAAGAAACUGCAAAGCCAUCGAGAUAUUGAUGCAAAGAAUGGAAGAAUGUAUUUCACUAAUUUUUGUAUACAUUUCUUGUUUUGUAUUUGGUGAUAAAGGAAUCUGAAUUGGGCAUAAAUUAUGUUGUAAUAUGAUUUCUUAAGCCUAGACUAGUAGACUAAAUAUUGUAAUUACAUUUGAGUAAUUAAUAAAAAUCUAUUUAUGCUA